rnacentral:lncRNA from 1 species
AUUCUGUGUUUCAAACUUCAACAAUAUAUUUUCAUCAAUUAAAGUAGCAUGCUAAAUGUCUAAUUCAUUAUAACUCACAAAAUCAUGAAGUGAAGUAGGGAAUACCUUUUUCUAAAGUGGCGUGAACUGCAUGAAAUGGCAUGCGAGCAAAAGUAUCAGAUCCUGGAAACAUCAUCCAUGUAUACUCCUUCGAGUCAUGAUCUCCACAUGUCGGACAUAUCUCCUUCACCAAUUCUUUGGUUCCCUCUACUUCUCGCAUGACGGUCUCGGAGGGUGAUGGAACACUACUCUUUGUUGUCCGAGCUCUCCUACGAAGAGCUGUCUUCCCUAUUACCAUUCCGAAGUCUAUCAUUUUCCACAAGAUGUAACAAUAGAAAACUAUUACACUAGAUGCAUUUUGAGAGAUUCAAUCAUUUAAUCUGAAAGUAAUAGAAAAGUUCUUCACCUGAUGCCUUGCUAAGAGGAGAUGCUCAGCCUCCGUUUCAACCUCAACCAAAGCUUGCUGGAAUUCCUUCAUGCUAGGAUCCAUUAUAGCUCUCUGAAAUGUCUUUCGAAGUCACCUAAAAAGUUC